UACGUAGGGAGCAAGCGUUGUCCGGAAUCAUUGGGCGUAAAGAGCGUGUAGGCGGUCCGGUAAGUCCGUUGUGAAAGUCGAGGGCUCAACCCUCGAAUGCCGGCGGAUACUGUCGGACUAGAGUCCGGAAGAGGCGAGUGGAAUUCCUGGUGUAGCGGUGAAAUGCGCAGAUAUCAGGAGGAACACCAAUGGCGAAGGCAGCUCGCUGGGACGGUACUGACGCUGAGACGCGAAAGCGUGGGGAGCAAACAGG
rnacentral:rRNA from 1 species